GGGAGGAGCUGAGUGAGAGGACCAUUUGAGACCAGGUGUAUGUGAGGUGGAGCCAGUGAAGGUGCUGCUGGUGCGGAAAGAGCACCAUCCUGUGGAAGUGAGGGACACACCAUUGCAUUUGUGUGUUGUCAGAGCUCUUUGUGGAUGGCAGAGCUUAUUUGGAGGGUCAUGAGAGACCAGGAGAUGCUACGUUGUGUGUGGAGACACCUGGUUGGCGUCUUAAAGGGACAGUCUCAGACACUGUGCUACACUUCCAGCCCACUUCCAGCCCAGGGAGGGCAAGGCCAGGUACAAGAGGAAGAUGGAGGAGCAGCUGAAGCAGCAAAACAUCAGUGGGGUGUGGAGGAGCCUAAAGACCAUCUCAGGCUUCAAAACACCCCACUCCCAGGCUGAGGGGGGCCUGCAGUGGGUGAACGACUUGAACCAACACUUCAACCGGUUUGACCAGCCACCCACUACUCCCCCCACGCAGCUGCCCCACACCU